rnacentral:rRNA from 1 species
AUUGAACGCUGGCGGCAGGCUUAACACAUGCAAGUCGAGCGGAGAUGAGGUGCUUGCACCUUAUCUUAGCGGCGGACGGGUGAGUAAUGCUUAGGAAUCUGCCUAUUAGUGGGGGACAACAUUCCGAAAGGAAUGCUAAUACCGCAUACGUCCUACGGGAGAAAGCAGGGGAUCUUCGGACCUUGCGCUAAUAGAUGAGCCUAAGUCGGAUUAGCUAGUUGGUGGGGUAAAGGCCUACCAAGGCGACGAUCUGUAGCGGGUCUGAGAGGAUGAUCCGCCACACUGGGACUGAGACACGGACCAGACUCCUACGGGAGGCAGCAGUGAGGAAUAUUGGACAAUGGGGGGAACCCUGUUCCAGCCAUGCCGCGUGUGUGAAGAAGGCCUUAUGGUUGUAAAGCACUUUAAGCGAGGAGGAGGCUACUGAGACUAAUACUCUUGGAUAGUGGACGUUACUCGCAGAAUAAGCACCGGCUAACUCUGUGCCAGCCGCCGCGGUAACAC